GGGGUUGAUUUAUUAAAGAUCAUUGAAGAUCUUAUGUUCGUAUCAAUGAUUCUGUGUGAUAUAUCAUAGAGUGAAUUGGGUGACCUAAAUUAGGCAGCAAGAUUGAAAAUCUUUCAAAAAAAGUUGUCAAAAUUUGAAUUUGACGAUUCAAAUGAUCAAAUCAGCCCAAUAUAGUCCACAGCAUUCAUGUGGUCAAUUUUUAUUUUGUUCGACCAUUAUAGAUUCGCAUACAUGGAAAAUCAUUCUGUAUGUUUUGUCAUUGAGUGAAUUGGGUCCCUCAGCAAUUGUCAUAGGUUUGAUAACCUAAACUAGGCAGCAAGGUUGGAAGGUUUAAUGCAUGUUCUGGUGUUCAUCCAGCAGCUCUGGGGUAUGCAUUCUUGUAUGAUGGGGAUCAAAACUCCUCAUCAGGUUCCAUAUCUCCUACAUACAAAAUUCUGUCAAUCUCUUCUGGUUGUGCAAAUCUUUGAUAUUUGAAUCUUAUGUUCUACAGCUUCAAAUGAAUGAUGGGGAUCAAAUAUGUACUCAUCUGCAUCAACCCCAAGUUUAACUCAGAUGUGGACUUGUAUGCUCUGCG
rnacentral:lncRNA from 1 species